CAGCACCUCAAGUGGUCAGGAUGAUUAUUGGGCCUAAAGCAUCCGUAGCCGGCGCUGUAAGUUUUCGGUUAAAUCUGUACGCUCAACGUACAGGCUGCCGGGAAUACUGCAGCGCUAGGGAGUGGGAGAGGUAGACGGUACUCGGUAGGAAGGGGUAAAAUCCUUUGAUCUAUUGAUGACCACCUGUGGCGAAGGCGGUCUACCAGAACACGUGCGACGGUGAGGGAUGAAAGCUGGGGGAGCAAACCGGAUUAGAUACCCGAGUAGUCC
rnacentral:rRNA from 1 species